GCAGUAUACGGAGGCUUAAUACUCAGUAACUAGAGGGACCGCUGUUACUUUCUUUAAACCAGAGGAAGGUUGCGGCAAUAACAGGUCUGUGAUGCCCUUAGAUGUUCCGGGCUGCACACGUGAUACAUUGAUUACUUCAGUGAGUAUCUACGUAUUACUGCGCAGCAGUAUACGCGUGUUGUUUAUUGCUUCGGCAAUUUACUUUGCGCUAUACGCCGCCUUAACCUACUUCGAAAGUAUGUGGGUAACCAAUUAGAAGUAGUGAUUUCCCUCUUUAUAAGCACACUUAUAUGGAGCAUCAUCACCCGGCAUGCCUUGUGCAUGUUUUGUGUGUGUUGUUUGUCUACAUGUGCUUUUGUCAAUUCAUAGUGGGGACAGACCAUUGUUAAUUGUUGGUCUCGGUCUUAACUAGGAAUGCCUUGUACGAGUUUUUGGUUCAACAAACCACUCGGAAUACGUCCCUGCCCUUUGUACACACCGCCCGUCGCUCUUACCGAUGGAUUAUAUUAUGAGUUGGCAGGACCGUCCAGGAAAUGCCUGCGAAUAAUG
rnacentral:rRNA from 1 species